CAUUAUGAAGCUAUAAAGCAUCAACCUUUUAAGUUGAAGAUUAGAAGUUUAAACCUUCUCAUAAUGA
rnacentral:tRNA from 1 species